UGUCGUUGCGCUUUAGGGAUUUUGGGGACUAAAACUUGAAAAAGGUGGAGGAGGAAGCAAAAAAACAGUCUUUUUAAUCAUCCACCCAAAAACUAUUUAAAAGAAAGGAAAACGAAUCCUUUGAAAUGGUUCUAUCCAAUUCAAAGUUCAAACAUACAUCACUUGCCCUAAACCUUUUCUCCUUCUAAACAAGAUUUCAGUAUUCACACAUACAGUUCUUGCUGGGUUUUCUGACUUCAGAUUUUUGACAAAGUUGUUGGUUGGUCUAAAAUCUUUUUACAGUCUGCUAUGAGCUUUUCUUGAGCAGAGAGCAGCUGCUCAUCUGCAUUUAUUGCUGGGUCCUUGAAAAUUAUUUCCCACCAUGGUAACAAUAUGUCUAAAUUGUGGUGAUGAAGGUUGGACUAACGCAUUUGUUUUCUGUGUGAAAUGCCUGGAAGUUGCUGUGCAUCGCUACUGCCUUAAAAAAGUCACCUUCAAGGAAUUUGUCAACUGGGUCUGUGAUGACUGUGAAGUGAAGGAGCCAGACGAACUAAACAUCAAGAAAUCUGAUGCCAUCUCAGUAGAAAAUGGGGAUUGCACUAGUUCAAGGCAUUGUAAAGCAACGUCUAAAGCAAAAGUGGAUGUUCCUGAGACAAAAUUAAAGAGUUGUCAAGGUAGGGAUCAGCAACUUCAUCAGCCAGGUGCUGGGAUUGAUUUGGUAGAGAAUUGUCAGAUAGCGGGUGAUAGUCCAGUUGUGAAGACGAGCAAGAAGAGAUCUAUUCUUGCUUCAUUAAGAGAUGAGAAAUAUGAGCAAAGACUAGUACGUUGCUCUUCUGAGCAAUCCCACAAGUCACAGAUAAUCAUUGAGUGCAAUGAACGAACUCAAUCAGCUAAUGUUUCUCCAUUGCUAGCUAAGCGAUCAAAGGAAGAAGUUACUGGCCCUCUGGCAAGGGAAGAAUUGCACGCUCCUCAUUUGAAGGAACCUUGUGAGGGAGAUAUUCAGCCCGGCACACAGGAUGAUUCUUCUGGCAUGAUUGAAAAGACAAUCAGUAUGUUGUCGCGUAGCAAUCAUCAUGAAGAGGAAUCGACGAUUGGAAACGAUAGAAGAUUAACACCUCAAACUAGAACUGUUGUUAAUGGAGAUCCUUCUCAAUUUUCAAAAGGUGAACAGCCAAAUGAACCCAAACAUGGUGGCCAAGACCGAGCGCAACCUCUUAUUGAUUUCAUUUGGAGGGGUAGUUUUAACAUCUGGAACAAAGAGUAUGAGACAUUUUAUGGACAAGCUCACCUUUCAGUUAAAGCAUGCCAAAAGGUUUUUGAAGAAGCAAGUUUGCUUCCAGCUUCGCUUCAACUGGAAAUGCUUCCAAAGUCUGACUUAUGGCCUAAGAGUUUCACUAUAUCAGAGCCGUCUGAUGAUAACAUUGCAUUGUAUUUUUUCCCAUCGGACAUAAGAUGGGAAAAGGUGUUUGAUCAGUUGGUGGAGAAGAUGAUCAGUAACGAACUUGCUCUUCGAGCAAUAGUAACUAAUGCCGAGCUUUUGGUUUUCACUUCUACGGAACUGCCCCUGCUAUACUGGAGAUUCCAGGGUAAGCACUACCUCUGGGGUGUUUUCAGAGCAAAGCGAGAUUCCAGUAGGAAUACUAUGAUGCCAAAUGGGAAGAGAGAAUCUGAGACUCAUCCAACUCCUGGGAAUGAAUUGGCUGUCAAAGAUGGUGGAGAUGUCGCAAACGCCAAAACGUGGGAUCAGAGUCCUCUUAGCCCUUUGAGCAACAAUGCAAGCCUUGGGUCUGCCACUUCCUGAAGCAUCUCUACUCUUGUUGUUUUGACGCAUUUCCCUCACUUCUGUGAUCUAGCAUGCUAUUUAACUGGUUGUUAAUGCAUAUAUGGGCUGAGGGCUGAGAAUCUGGUGGUUAGGACGAAACAGCUUUCGUUUUAGAGCCAUCUGGUGGGGAGAUUCGCCCGGUUAAAGAACCUAAUGUCCUGUGAAAGUUGUACACGAUUGACCGACAUUAUUAGUCCAAACGUCACCAAAUGGUAUGACAAGGAAGAGAAGCUUUUACAGCGCUCUCUGUUUUGCAC